UACUUUCAUGGCUAAGGAGUCUCCUCAAGGGGAACUUGUUGAGUAUCAAGCCAAGGCUGAGCGUAAGCCAUGGCAAAGAAAUAUUCAUCCCAUCUUUUGCAGACCUUCUUCAGCUCUUAAAAAAGACUGAUGGUGUCGUUGAGCGCUCCCAAUUCCCCAGCCCCCAGGCCAGGUGGAUUAAGUAGUUUGAUGAAAUAUUUAACCUUCUGGAAGAUUUCAUAUUUUUAUAAUUUAGAACUCUACUUAUGUCUGUCUCUGUAAGGUUUGUAAUGACUGGGUGAUUAAUUAUUUAAAAGCAGUAAAGACACUUUUUUUAUUUAUUUA